UACGGGGGGGCAAGCGUUGUUCGGAAUUACUGGGCGUAAAGGGCUCGUAGGUGGCCAACUAAGUCAGACGUGAAAUCCCUCGGCUUAACCGGGGAACUGCGUCUGAUACUGGAUGGCUUGAGUUUGGGAGAGGGAGCGGAAUUCCAGGUGUAGCGGUGAAAUGCGUAGAUAAUCUGGAGGAACACCGGUGGCGAAGGCGGCGUCCUGGACCAAGCAC
rnacentral:rRNA from 1 species